rnacentral:lncRNA from 1 species
GAAGAUUCUGAGGAAAAGACACAUGUGGAUGGAGGAGAUAAUCUUUCCAAGAACCUUUUCACUUAUUACCGGGCUUAUUCAGGGAAGCACAUCUACUCUCAGAACUCAGAGGAAAAGGAGUUUGGAGGAAAGACACUCUCUCUGGGAAUUUUGGGGUAAAGAGAGAUUGGGAGAAGGAGCUUUGGGCAAAAGAAACCCCUUUGAGGAGAAAACAAGAGUGGGCUCUAUGGCCCAUCCUCACCUUGUUUUUAAUAAAGGUCGGUUCCUUUGCCCCAGAGGAAACUUUCCAGUUUUGCCCCACCAAUUACUUCAGGAUUGCUCUCUUGGAAAACCAUCUAGACCGAUGGCACCAGGGACAAGAUCUUUGUGGCAGGGAACUUGUUCUGGGAACAUUCCAUUAGUAAGGGCUUCCUCUCUGGGGAAGACGGCAAGAGAAAUUUCCCAUUUAAUUUAAUAAAAUAGAGGCCGCUGAAGCAUUCCUGAUGAAAAGACAAGAGCUGAGAAGAAAAUGUGACUUGCAAAUUGAAGACUCAAAAGCAGCAUUCAAAGGUAAAUAUGAUAGAGACCUCUCAAGUAACUCAUUAUUGAUACACUAUGUACUCUUCUAAAAGGGAAGAUGAUAACCAUAUCUCCUAAGAAUUUUAUCUUUACCAGGCAGGUAGAAGCAUUCAAGCUAGAAAGAGGUUUUGGAACUGAACCAUCUGGAUGGGGAUGAUGUAAAAUAGAUAGGUGAGAAAUAUGGAUGCCCUGGGAGAUGGUAGAAGGGAGAGAAAAAAUGGAGGAAAUGAUCCCAUAAAAUAAGCAUUCAAGGAAGAGGUUUUGCCUUGGAGUGGAAAAUGAUGAUGAGGAGAGUGACCAAUUCUUGAACCUCCUCACCAUCUAAAAGGCUCAAGGGGAAAUAUCGAUAUCAGUAUUUAUAUGUAUUUUCCAAUUUGGGCCGAAAAUCUUUUUACCCUAAAGGUAAGUAGGCAAAUGGGAGAGGAGAAGAAAAAGUGGUGAUAAACGUUGGGAAGUUAAAAGAAUGCAGUGGUCAUAUGCAAAAUAGAACUUAGCAGGGGAAUGGGGAUAAAAAGAAAGAAAGAAGGAAAAACAGAAUCAACUACAACAUGACUGUGUUAGUGGGAUGAACUCACUCCUAAAUGCAAGUGAGCAGUAAAAUGAAUUAGAAACCAGACUUCAGACUAUGUUUGUUUGUUUGUUUUUCUUUUUUUUUUAUUUUGAAAAGAUUCAUAUUGGGAAAGAAGAACCAGAGUUAAAAAAUGAGGGCUGAAGAGGAAACUUUACCCUUAGAAGGAUAAAAAACAUAAGGAAGCAAUCUUGAUGUCAAGAAAAAAUCAGAGAAAAAUUAGGCCUCAGUGAAAGGGGA